ncrna:unclassified sequences RT-14 RNA
CUGUAUAUAUACACCUGAUUUAAUAGUUUAAGGACUAUUAAGCAUAGAUUACAGAGAAUCAGGAGCCUUGUCCCGUCCGAUAAGGACAAAGAGUAAAAGGGAAGUAGAAUCUUAGUAAGUUCGCUGAAAGGGGUCUACUUCC